rnacentral:ncRNA from 1 species
UAUUUUCUAAGUAAUUACGGAAGAAAUUCUAAGAUUUUGAAACUUCUGAAAUAUUUCAAACCAAAGACUUGUACAAAUCACGACCUCUACCUAGAAAAAAGGAACUAGGCAAACCCAAGGCCCGACUGUUUACCAAAAACAUAGCCUUCAGCCAACCAAGUAUUGAAGGUGAUGCCUGCCCAGUGACCCCACGUUUAACGGCCGCGGUAUCCUAACCGUGCGAAGGUAGCGCAAUCAAUUGUCCCAUAAAUCGAGACUUGUAUGAAUGGCUAAACGAGGUCUUAACUGUCUCCUGUAGAUAAUCAGUGAAAUUGAUCUUCCUGUGCAAAAGCAGGA